AUUGAACGCUGGCGGCAGGCCUAACACAUGCAAGUAGAACGAGUGGCGGACGGGUGAGUAAUGUCUGGGACACUGCCUGAUGGAGGGGGAUAACUACUGGAAACGGUAGCUAAUACCGCAUACCAUCAGGUGUGCAAAGAUGGGCUUAGCUAGUUGGUGGGGUAACGGCUCACCAAGGCGACGAGCCAUAGCGGGUCUGAGAGGAUGAACAACCCCAGUGGAACUGAGCGACGUUCCAGACUCCUACAAGACACAACAUUGCUCAAUAUUACACAGUGGGCGCAAGCCGGAUCCAGCCAUGCCGCGUGUAUGAAGAAGACCGUCGUGUUUUAAAGUACUUUCAGCGUGAAGGCGUUACCCGCAGAAGAAGCACCGGCUAACUCCGUGCCAGCAGCCACGGUAAUAC
rnacentral:rRNA from 1 species